AUUGAACGCUGGCGGAAUGCUUUACACAUGCAAGUCGAGCGGCAGCACGGGGGCAACCCUGGUGGCGAGCGGCGAACGGGUGAGUAACACAUCGGAACAUGCCCAGUCGUGGGGGAUAACACUUCGAAAGAAGUGCUAAUACCGCAUCCGUCCGUAGGGAGAAAGCGGGGGAGCUGCGGACCUCGCGCGAUUGGAGUGGCAGAUGUCAGAUUAGCUAGUUGGUGGGGUAAAGGCCUACCAAGGCAACGAUCUGUAGCUGGUCUGAGAGGAUGAUCAGCCACACUGGGACUGAGACACGGCCCAGACUCCUACGGGAGGCAGCAGUGGGGAAUUUUGGACAAUGGGGGCAACCCUGAUCCAGCCAUUCCGCGUGAGUGAAGAAGGCCUUCGGGUUGUAAAGCUCUUUCGGCAGGAACGAAACGGCGAGCUCUAACAUAGCUUGCUAAUGACGGUACCUGAAGAAGAAGCACCGGCUAACUACGUGCCAGCAGCCGCCGUAAAAC
rnacentral:rRNA from 1 species